rnacentral:tRNA from 1 species
GGAGUUGUGUCUCAGUGGUAGAGCACACGUCUAGUCCGUGUGAGGCACUGGGUUUGAUUCUCAGCACCG